CAAUUUUAUGCUAAGAUGUUUCCUUUAUCUGCAUUUGCACCUGCACCUUAUUUCUUCUUUCGAGUUAUAUAUAUAUAUAUAUAGAAGUAGUACAGUAUAAUAUUAACCGGGAAAGAUCAAAAAAGGAGAGGUGCAGGUGUAGGUGCAGAUGAAUGUCAUUUUGGCUUCUUCAUUUCUUCUUUUUUUUUUUUAAAGAUCAUUUUAAAUUUCAGAUCUCGUUUAAUGAAUUAUUGUUCUUUGGGCAAGGGAUUACAGUGCUGUUUUUAACUUUUAAAUUUAAGCUAGUGUGAUUCAGAACAAACGAAGAAGCUAAGGCAUCUCCAGGUUUUUGUACUGUGUGUGAUGGAUCCAUAAAAAAUUUCAUCGAUUGGCUUGCAUGUACGUGGCUUGGAAGAUAUGGACUCUCUUACAUCGUUUUGAGUUUCAUAUUAAGUUUUCUGCUUGGCUUGCGUGAUACAACUAAUGCUAGAAUGAUCGCUCAACAUAUUGGUCAGUUAAUACAAGGGGAUAUUGCUGGUUAAAUAUGCUGGUGGGUUGGCCAGAUGAAAUUUGAACUAAUUAAUCUCAGUAUUGACAACCCAUUAGCCGUUGCUAUAUUUCUUUCUAAAUCUUUGUUGAAUGAGUUUUAAAUAUGAAAAGUUGCCUAAAUUCUGCUCUAACUGUGGCACCAUCGGAAAUGAAAAGAGGUGUUAGCAAGGGAUGCCAUCUAUGAUAAUAACACCUUCAAGCUUAUGGCUUAAAGCUUUUGGUUCUUGGCUUAGAAGGACACUUCUUCGUAUAUUUCUCCAUGUACAGCCUGUAAACUUCUUUAGUCCCAUACUUUAAGGUUCACAUAACCUUGAUAUUAUUUUUAAUUUAUAGUUGUAAUGUAAAUUCCUCUUGCUACAAUUACUUUUAGUUAAACCAGGAUCACGAGAUGUUUCAAACAUUUUA